rnacentral:sRNA from 1 species
GAGGCCAGAAAAUUGAUGCUGUGGCAUGGAACACAACCCCCUACCAACUAGCCCGGCAGAUCAGUUCAACACUGGCAGAUACUGCAGUGGCUGCUCAAGUGAAUGGAGAACCUUAUGAUCUGGAGCGGCCCUUGGAGACAGAUUCUGACCUCAGAUUUCUGACAUUCGAUUCCCCAGAGGGGAAAGCAGACAAUCCGGGGCUCAGAGCUGCCUGUUUUGGAGCGGAUUUGCCAGGAACUUACAGCUGCUGCUCGACCCUUCCGGAGGCUAGAGGCUUCACGGGAUCAGCUUCGCCAGUUGUUCAAGGAUAACCCCUUUAAGCUUCACUUGAUUGAGGAGAAAGUGACAGGUCCAACAGCAACAGUAUAUGGGUAAGAGUUGUCAAGAGUAAGGCAAACAGAGAGGUGGGGAAGCAUUGAAGAAGGCC